CUUGACUCGUGAGACGUUUCUUCCUCUGGUAUCCAUGUUAAACUUGCCACGUUUCUGUUUUGAACUUUUGUCGAAAAUAUUAACCGAACCAGCUAUUUGAAGGCUUGUAAGGUUUAUUAUAUGGCAUGAAGGGCUGAAUCAAGCAAGAGAUUAAAAGUUGGAUGACUAAGAUCGAGUUGAAUACGAAACCGAAGACAUGAAUGGCGUUCAGACCCAAAGGCACAAAGGAUUCAGUAGAGUGCCUUGUGCAAGCGGAGUUUUCAUUCAUCAAGGAUAAAAUAUGACGCAUAGAGGGUUGGCAGUGGAGGAGGAAAAAACAGCCAAGGAUGUUAACAUCGUAUUAUUAAUUCUGCGGUUCAUCACAAGAAGUUGGCAUGAAGCAUCAAGAUACGAAGACUGGAUUCAUUUGUCCACUCCCUCCCCCCUGUUUUUCUCGGUCGUCUGGUCACCUGUAAUUUAAGUCACUGUCUCCUUUGCUAGUUGUUUGCUCCCUUGUCAGCUGUCCCAUGCACAUUUUGACGUGUUUAGAGAGCUUUUCUGAGUGUAAUCAUCCUCACCUUACUUGUUGUUAUAAAGUGGAUCUGCAAACUAGUACUACUUACUUUAUUGGUCUAGAAUUUGCUUGUUGGCAUCUUGGAAGGUGUU